GGACAGAGCGCACAGGCUGUGGGUUCAGCUGGUUCCGAGCCUCCCAGUCCUGACUGCAGCUGAAGUUUACUUCACCAGCUUCAGUGUCCCCUCUGCAGAACAGGAGCUCCUUCAAGUAUCUCCCAUGUUGUAAGGUCACGGACAGGUGCACCAGGACACACACAUGCUCUCUAGACAAUGACACCAUCCUGUUGCCAACCCCAGGGCAAGGUCUGGAGGGCCAGAUUCUCUAGAGUUAUUGCCAGUUAGGACAGGGAGGGGGCUGGGCAUCUUGUCAGGUCAGGGAGUUCUCUCUGCCUUCUGCUACAGGAGCUCCACCUUCCUUAUCUCCCUCAACAUGCAGAAAGAUGGGGUGCCCCAGUCCACAGAGUCUGGCUCCGUUCUGGGAGCUUCAGCCAUGGGGACAGAGAAGGAGUCUCCAGAGAGCAAUGGGUCAGUGACAUGCAGUUCCCCUGCUGCUCCAACCCAGCACUAAGCAAGGGAGUGCAGACACUUUCCUGGGGUUCAGCCAGCCAGGCCCAAGAAGCUCAGCUACGAAAGCCUGACAGAAGGAGUUCAGAAGAUCUUCAUUCAUCUCUGAGCCCAGUGCCAUAUCUCCACACAGGGAAGGCUCCUGGCCCUGCUGUCCAUCAUUCUGACCACACAGAAUCACAAAGGCUGCCCUUCCUCUCCCUGUUUGGUGACUCUGGAACUGGGGGCCUUCUCCUCUUGCCUUCCGGCCAGCUUUGGGUUUGGCAACCUUGUCCUGCCAGCGGGAGGCUGCUUUCAUUUCAGAUGGACUCAGGACCUAUACUAAAUAUUUCUUCUUUUUUUAUUCUGUUGAGUGGGACGCAUCAGUUGUUAAAGAGCGUGUGGCUUCGAAUGUGCGAAGCUCAGGAACAGGCAAAACUCACGCCUGUGGAGAUGGAGAUCAGACAGGAAAACACAGGACACCAAACAAAAUCCCAUCCAUGGCUUGGCUUUUUAUUCCUGGCUGGUCCUAUCCUCCAGAGGAGGGCACUCCCACUGUCCCUCAUCUUCCUCACGCUGAAGAGGCCUGGGUUGCCGGAGUGUGGGGCUGUGAACCUCAUGCUUUUCGAGUGCUUAAGAAAUCUGCAUUCUUACAAAUACAGAGUGAAGUUCACGGAUCUUGCUGACGCUCCUCGGGACAAUAUGGCUUCAUCUCUUCACGUUCACAAAGAAGUCUGCCACUGAACUCUUCUCAGAUAGUUUCCAGAGGCUGUUGCAGCAUCCUGACAUCUCGUCCCCAACCCCAGCAGCUGAGGCCUUGGUGGCCUGGGCCCACCCUACACUCACUCACCUUGGGCCGUGUAAGACUGGAUCCUCGGCCUCGUUCCCUGGUCACACACCCACUCAGGACAGCACCUGCCAGGUACCUGCGGCCAUUCACCUCACAGUUUCCAUCAUCUUCUUUCACUGUGGAAGGAGAAAGCAGAGCGGCUCUGGGGCCUGGGACCAGAGCACAAGACAGGCACCCUGUCCGAGCAUCACGCCUCACCGCACCCCUCCACCACGGACCUGCCAGAGAGGCAUCAAGGAGCCUGGCUUGGACCCCAUGGACCAAGGACUGACUCAAGGAAAGGGCUCCUGUUACUGCCCGCCCCGCUGGAACCUCUGCCGUCAGCCACGUGAUGCCACAAAUAUUUGCUGAGCACCUACAGUGGCCUAGGCCAUGUGCCAAGCAGUUGUAAUUCAGGCUAUGUGGGCAAAUGGGCAAACAUCCUCCCCUCUGGAGCAUUCCAGUGAAAACAAACACAGCCAAUGAGGUUGUGCCGGCUGGUGAUCGCACCUGGAGAAAUUCUUCAGCCGGUGCAAUUUUGCUCUUUGGUGACCUUGGCAAGAUCACCGCUGAUAGCUGGUUCUGGCACCUCAUAGGUCCAGAGGGUGCUGCUAACUGUCAGACCAGAGAGCCUCCCCUCAACAGUGGCCCUGGCACCCCAAAGUGUCAGAGGACACCCAGGCCUGAGACCGGUGAGGAAUGUCACACAUCCAAUACCACUAGGAAACAGCACUGGGGUCCACACGCAACCCACGGCUCCCAGUGGGGAAUGGAGGGAAUGCUUGGAGAUGAGACAGGCUGGAGGGCAUAGAGCUGGCUAGCUGACCUCUCUGAGCCUCAGUUUCCCUGUGUGUAGCAACGGAACUAUGGGGCACGAACAGUGAGUGACCAGCAUUGUUGGGGGCACACACCAUUCCCCAUUGGAGCCUGUGCUUUUGCUCCCCACAGGGCUGUGUAUUCGCCUUGGGGCAGCAGUUGGCCCAGCUUUGGAGCUGGCUGUGAUUUGGGUGGGUGUGGAUUGAAGUCACCAAGGAAGUCCCAGCAGAGGGUAAGAGGGAAGAAACAGGGAGUGGGCCCAGGAACCCUCAGGUCACCGGCUGAGCCAAAUAAACACAGCGCCUAAAGCAACGUCAGAGAGACACAGAGAUCAGAGCUCCACUUGGCUCUGGACCCCGUGGCCUUGACAACCCCCCCCAUUAGUCUAGCAAACCUACUUACAGAGGCACACGGUCUCCCGGCCACUGGGGCCUGCCCCAGGCUGACAAACCAGGCCCUGGCUGGUGUCGCAGACAUGCAGAUGGUCACAGGACUCCCCCAGCCUUCGGGCACACACUCGACAGCAGCCACAGCCAUCCAUCACCAGGGGCACCCCCGGUGGGCACUGGGGUGGUGUCCAGGGACAAGUACAGGACGCUGGGCACAGCUGGGCACCCACCUGAGGAGACAGAGACCUUACUUAGCUUUGACUAUCACGGCAGGUAUGGAGACUUUCACAACUGGUCACUUCGUGGCCAAAUCAGACAGCAUGGGACCCGUAGCUUGGCCUUGGAGUUACACAGAACCAGCCCUGAACCAGGGCCAUCUGAGGGUGCUCCUGAGAGGCAGCAUGACCACUGUGCUCUGAGCAAGGACCCCGGGGCCAGAGUUUCAGUCCUAGGAGCUCCCAUGUUGGUGGAGUUACCUGAGAGUUCCUUGAGUUCUCCAAGCCUGGCUUUCCUCAUGUGUAAAAGAAAGUGGGGAUGAUGUCACCUACCCCUGCAUGGGUAGGUCAGCAAUACGUGGGGUUUCUUUUUGGGGGGAUACACAUGUAUGUGUGGCAUGCACGUGUAUGUGUGUAAAUGUGAAGAGAUCACCACCCCACGGCUGCCUCUGUCCGUAUCAUUA